UCACACUAUCAAGCUUGGCUUGUUGUUGGGCCCUUUGUCACCUGGUGACAGGUCCAAAAGACAAUAACCGGUGUCAUACAGACUCUAUAUGCAACGAGCUUAUCACAGCACGCAUCUGGCAGUCGUGUGGCCCGGUUUUCCCUUUGAUUACUUACCAAAGUGUAUUUCUCAA
rnacentral:misc_RNA from 1 species